CCUACGGGUGGCUGCAGUGGGGAAUAUUGGGCAAUGGAGGCAACUCUGACCCAGCAACGCCGCGUGCAUGAUGAAGGUCUUCGGAUUGUAAAGUUCUUUUCUCAGGGAAGAAGAAAGUGACGGUACCUUAGGAAUAAGCCUCGGCUAACUACGUGCCAGCAGCCGCGGUACUACGGAGGAUGCGAGCGUUAUCCGGAUUUAUUGGGUUUAAAGGGUGCGUAGGCGGGUCGUUAAGUCAGUGGUCAAAUUGAGGGGCUCAACCCCUUCCCGCCAUUGAAACUGGCGCUCUUGAGUGGAAGAGAAGUAGGCGGAAUGCGUGGUGUAGCGGUGAAAUGCAUAGAUAUCACGCAGAACCCCGAUGGCGAAGGCAGCAUGCCGGAUUCCGACUGACGCUGAAGCACGAAAGCGUGGGGAUCGAACAGGAUUAGAUACCCCAGUAGUC
rnacentral:rRNA from 1 species